rnacentral:rRNA from 1 species
GACGGACGCUGGCGGCGUGCUUAACACAUGCAAGUCGAGCGGUAAGGCCCUUUCGGGGGUACACGAGCGGCGAACGGGUGAGUAACACGUGGGUGACCUGCCCUUAGCUCUGGGAUAAGCCUGGGAAACUGGGUCUAAUACCGGAUAUGACUCCAUGACGCAUGUUGUGGGGUGGAAAGCCUUGUGCGGCUAGGGAUGGGCCCGCGGCCUAUCAGCUUGUUGGUGGGGUGAUGGCCUACCAAGGCGACGACGGGUAGCCGGCCUGAGAGGGCGACCGGCCACACUGGGACUGAGACACGGCCCAGACUCCUACGGGAGGCAGCAGUGGGGAAUCUUGCGCAAUGGGCGAAAGCCUGACGCAGCGACGCCGCGUGAGGGAUGAC